CGCGGCCUAUCAGCUUGUUGGUGGGGUAACGGCCUACCAAGGCGAUUACGGGUAGCCGGCCUGAGAGGGCGACCGGCCACACUGGGACUGAGACACGGCCCAGACUCCUGCGGGAGGCAGCAGUGGGGAAUAUUGCGCAAUGGGCGAAAGCCUGACGCAGCGACGCCGCGUGGGGGAUGACGGCCUUCGGGUUGUAAACCUCUUUUACCACCAACGCAGGCUCCCGGUUCUCCGGGGGUUGACGGUAGGUGGGGAAUAAGGACCGGCUAACUACGUGCCAGCAGCCGCGGUAAUACGUAGGGUCCGAGCGUUGUCCGGAAUUAUUGGGCGUAAAGAGCUCGUAGGCGGCGUGUCGCGUCUGCUGUGAAAGACCGGGGCUUAACCCCGGUUCUGCAGUGGAUACGGGCAUGCUAGAGGUAGGUAGGGGAGACUGGAAUUCCUGGUGUAGCGGUGAAAUGCGCAGAUAUCAGGAGGAACACCGGUGGCGAAGGCGAGUCUCUGGGCCUUACCUGACGCUGAGGAGCGAAAGCAUGGGGAGCGAACAGGAUUAGAUACCCUGGUAGUCCAUGCCGUAAACGUUGGGCGCUAGGUGUGGGGACUUUCCACGGUUUCCGCGCCGUAGCUAACGCAUUAAGCGCCCCGCCUGGGGAGUACGG
rnacentral:rRNA from 1 species